GCGGCUAUGGUGGAAUUGGUAGACACGCAUGAUUCAGGUUCAUGUGCUUAUAUAAGAGCAUGGGAGUUCAAAUCUCCCUAGCCGCACCA
rnacentral:tRNA from 1 species